rnacentral:rRNA from 2 species
GGAAACCGCGAUGGGGUUACCCCGAGUGUCGCCCGCUGAGGGCGACUUUUCUGGGGUCUAAAAAGCCCCAGGAAUAAGGGGAGGGCAAGUUUGGUGUCAGCCGCCGCGGUAAUACCAGCUCCCCGAGUGGUCGGGACGUUUAUUGGGCCUAAAGCGCCCGUAGCCGGCCCGGUGUGUAAACCGUCAAAUCCGCCGGCUCAACCGGCGGACCGCGGGGGAUACUAUCGGGCUAGGGGGCGGGAGAGGUCGGGGGUACUCCCGGGGUAGGGGUAAAAUCCUCUGAUCCCGGGAAGACCACCGGUGGCGAAGGCGUCCGGCCAGAACGCGCCCGACGGUGAGGGGCGAAAGCUGGGGGAGCGAACCGGAUUAGAUACCCGGGUAGUCCCAGCUGUAAACGAUAAAAGCUAGGUGCUGGAGGGGCUACGGGCCCCUCCAGUGCCGCAGGGAAGCCGUUAACCCAAACCGCCUGGGGAAAACGGCCGCAAGGCUGAAACUUAAAGGAAUUGGCGGGGGAACGCCACAAGGGGUGAAGCCUGCGGUUUAA